CAGCAGCCGCGGGAAUACAGAGGGUGCGAGCGUUAAUCGGAUUUACUGGGCGUAAAGCGUGCGUAGGCGGCUUCUUAAGUCGGACGUGAAAUCCCUGAGCUUAACUUAGGAAUUGCAUUCGAUACUGGGAAGCUAGAGUAUGGGAGAGGAUGGUAGAAUUCCAGGUGUAGCGGUGAAAUGCGUAGAGAUCUGGAGGAAUACCGAUGGCGAAGGCAGCCAUCUGGCUUAAUACUGACGCUGAGGUACGAAAGCAUGGGGAGCAAACAGGAUUAGAUACCCCAGUAGUCCCUGUCUCUUAUAC
rnacentral:rRNA from 1 species